rnacentral:rRNA from 1 species
AUUGAACGCUGGCGGCAUGCUUUACACAUGCAAGUCGAACGGUAACAGGUUAAGCUGACGAGUGGCGAACGGGUGAGUAAUGCAUCGGAACGUGCCCGAUCGUGGGGGAUAACGCAGCGAAAGCUGCGCUAAUACCGCAUACGAUCUGAGGAUGAAAGCGGGGGACCGUAAGGCCUCGCGCGAUCGGAGCGGCCGACGUCAGAUUAGGUAGUUGGUGGGGUAAAGGCUCACCAAGCCGACGAUCUGUAGCUGGUCUGAGCGGACGACCAGCCACACUGGGACUGAGACACGGCCCAGACUCCUACGGGAGGCAGCAGUGGGGAAUUUUGGACAAUGGGCGCAAGCCUGAUCCAGCAAUGCCGCGUGCAGGAAGAAGGCCUUCGGGUUGUAAACUGCUUUUGUACGGAGCGAAAAGGCUCUCUCUAAUACAGGGGGCUCAUGACGGUACCGUAAGAAUAAGCACCGGCUAACUACGUGCCAGCCGCCGCCGUAAGAC